GAGCUCUGAGGCCCUCUGGUUAGUAGAAGCUUGGAUCGUGAGUGCAGAAGAUGCUUGUGGAAGACAUGCAAGCUUGUUGAGAUGAGAUGUCCCCCUCCCUCCCAGGCGACUGCUUUCCUGACACCACUGCUCUGCAAUGGACAAAGACAGAGAAGGAUCCUGCUUGGGUACUGGACACGGUGGCACAUGCCUUUAGUUCCAG
rnacentral:lncRNA from 1 species